AAUCUAAGUUGUCAAAGUAACAAUAACCGGGUUUUACUUAAACACAUAAACCAAAAUCUAAGCUGUCAAAGUAACAAUACCUGGGUUUACUCUUUUCAGAAUACAACAUAAUAUAAGCUGUCAAAGUGACGAUAACCAGGUUUUCCAUAUUAAUGCAGCUCGC